GUUCAAUUUAAAGGGAGCUUAUUUAUUGGGCAGCACAGCUAUACUUUUGUUCUUAAACUAGUUACUUAAAAUCAUGUUAAUCAGAAGUGUUUUGUUUUGAUCCUAUUUUAGCUGAUGUGCAGAAGACAAAAGAACACAGCCAAUUGUAUUUAUUUGAUUCUUUAAGAAAACCAUCAGCCCUGCCAGGUGUUGGUGGCACACACCUUUAAUCCCAGCACUCAGGAGGCAGAGGCAGGUGGAUCUCUGUGAGUUGGAGACAAGCCUGGUCUACAAGAGCUAGUUCUAGGACAGGUUCCAAAGCUACACAGAGAAACCCUGUCUCGAAAAACAAAACAAAACAAAACAAGAAAACCAUCAGCCCUGCAAGCGCACUGCCAUGGUGUCUGCACCCUUAAUAUAGUAACUGUAUUUGGCUGUUCCUCUCACCCAUUCCCUCCUGACACUGCAGUCCUUUGCUGUGUUAGAGAAAUAGAAUGGCAUGCCACACCUGCCUAGGCUUAAACUUGAUCUGUGCUCUGAGUUACAUGGCUCUGGACUUGAGCCCUUGGCAUGGCAUGUUUCCUGUGACGGGGAAUUAAUGAUAAUAUGUGUCUUGAAGUCUGGUGUCCAGGGUAGUUAAAUCUGUAAGUAUGUUCACAAAUGUCUUGCUGCCUGACAAACACUCUAAACUUGUUUGCUAUUGUUAGUACAUGUUAAUCAAGAGGAAACAAAGUUUAUGGAAAGGAAAAAAACUUGAAACUUACCAAAAGCAAUGUCCUAUUCUCAUGCCAAUUUGUUUCUCCACAGCAGGAAUGUCACUGGAGUCCGCCUAAUCAUUAAAUUGCUAGCACAGACAAUAUUUGACAAUGUCUUUUACGCAUUUCAGUUUUUACUUGAAAUGUCAUUAAAUUAUGCUGAUAUGACAAUUUUUGAUUAGAUGUAUACAACAGGAAAAAAAAAAAACCAACACCAGUGAUACUACAGCCUGAUAUCUGCACUAAUUUCAAAGGACAUUUGCCUCUUCACAUUAACUGCAUUGUUUGAGAUGAAGGCAGCACAUAAUCUACUGUAGUAUCUGAAUAUAAUAACACCACACUAUUUACCAAAGGUACUAUAACAAAAAUUUUAAGACACAGGAGUUUUUUUGUUGUAUCACUGUCAUUUAAAGCUUGAUUUUUUUUUUAUGAAACAUUAAAACAAGAGUUCUUUAUUACAGAAAUUAAACAGUAUCAACUGCUUUGUGAGUUCAAGGUAUAUACACUGAAAUCAAUUAGCAUGUAUUUCAAUGUGAGUCUAUACAAAAAGAAGUGACAAAUGGGCCCAGCAAGGCAGUAUUCAUGACUCAGAACUAAACACAGCUUUAGUUCCUUCUGCUGUAUUUACAUUCAGAUGCUUCUCUGGUCAAGAUUCCUGAGCUAACUGGUUAGGGGAUGUAUUUAGCUUUCUAACAAAAGAAUUUCUAUCUACAAUGACCACUUCUACAGGAAUCCACUCCACAAUUCUGACAAAAUCUGUUGGUUCCCCUUAAUAAUUUGCAGCAAUCUUGUUAUGUUGACUCUAUGGCAAGUCCAGGAGGAACCCAACAAAUGGAACCAUGGGCACAUUUAUCAAAGUAGGAUCCUGGCUUUCUUCACCU
ensembl:lncRNA